GUCCCAGUUCGGAUCGCAGGCUGCAACCCGCCUGCGUGAAGUCGGAAUCGCUAGUAAUCGCGGAUCAGCAUGCCGCGGUGAAUACGUUCCCGGGCCUUGUACACACCGCCCGUCACACCAUGAGAGUCGAGAACACCCGAAGCCCGUAGCCUAACAGCAAUGAGGGCGCGGUCGAAGGUGGGUUCGAUAAUUGGGGUGAAGUCGUAACAAGGUAGC
rnacentral:rRNA from 1 species